rnacentral:ncRNA from 1 species
UAAGAAACAAUCAAAAUGGGUGUUGGAUGAGUGUGAGAUACAUAUACAGCUUAAAAGGGAAGCCGUGAAAGUCCGGGUCGGUUCCCGCCACUUAAAUCGGAGUAGCAUUCAGGAGGUCACUGUUUUAUGAAACAGGAAGACGAAGGAUGCGAUGUUGAUGAGUCAGGAGACCUGCCUGUUUAUACAAGACAUGA